GUUUCAGCAGCCGCGGUAAGACGAACCGUGCGAACGUUAUUCGGAUUUAUUGGGCUUAAAGAGUGCGUAGGUGGCAGUGUAAGUCGGGGGUGAAAUACUAUCGGCUCAACCGUGGAAUUGCCUUCGAUACUGCAUUGCUUGAGGGGGAUAGGGGCAAGUGGAACUUCCGGUGGAGCGGUGAAAUGUGUUGAGAUCGGAAGGAACGCCAGUGGCGAAAGCGACUUGCUGGGUCUUCUCUGACACUGAGGCACGAAAGCUAGGGGAGCAAACGGGAUUAGAAACCCCGGUAGUCC
rnacentral:rRNA from 1 species